rnacentral:tRNA from 1 species
GCCGGGGUAGCUCAGCCUGGCCUAGAGUGCCAGUCCACACAAAAGGGUAAUACUCAUAAUCUGGAGGUCGUGGGUUCGAAACCCACCCCCGGUA